UACGAAGGGGGCUAGCGUUGCUCGGAAUUACUGGGCGUAAAGCGCACGUAGGCGGAUUGUUAAGUCGGGGGUGAAAUCCUGGAGCUCAACUCCAGAACUGCCUUCGAUACUGGCGAUCUCGAGUAUGGAAGAGGUGAGUGGAAUUCCGAGUGUAGAGGUGAAAUUCGUAGAUAUUCGGAGGAACACCAGUGGCGAAGGCGGCUCACUGGUCCAUUACUGACGCUGAGGUGCGAAAGCGUGGGGAGCAAACAGG
rnacentral:rRNA from 1 species